rnacentral:lncRNA from 1 species
UUCUGGGAUCUUAUAUUUGUUCAUCACAAUCACGGAUUUGGGGGAAAUAUUAAUAAUGGGUAUAUAAAUAUCUCAUUCACAAUUAUAUGGUAUUUAAAUAAUUGAAAUGUCUAUAACCUUAUGUCUCAUAAUAUAUUACAUAUUUGCUGAAGAUUAUUGAACGACAUCAGGUGUCUUUAAAGAAAGAGGUUUUUCAUCUUAUUAAUGUUUCUUAAUGCACACAUUCCAAAUCUAAACAUUUAUUUUGUUGUUAUGAAGAAUAAUCUUAAUGUACUAAGGAGUUAUGCUUUACUUAUCUAUAUGGUCUUGAAAAAAUCUGACAUUCUACAAUUUUCGAGGAGUUAUGGACGUCAAACAUCUCCAGAUCUGUAUAAAUUUCAUCAUCACUAUCUGAAUAAUAAUAAUUGUUGAUUUUGUCGUUAUGAAAAAAUUCAAUAAUCCUAAACGGUAUUAUUCAGUUUCUUCCGUCUAUAUGGUGAGGAAAAGAAUCGCAUAUACAGUUCUCCAUGUGACCCUUACAAAUAUAAAUUGCAUUUUCCCCUUUGUAAUGAAGUAUAUUGACUAUGGACGAAGAGAUUCAGCUUCACUUAUCUACAAGGUUGGAUUCGGAAUCUCAUGCUCUACUUAUUUAGUGCUACCUUAGAUGUCGAUCAUCUCUGGCCCUGUCCAAGUUAGAUUAGAACUCUGAAUAAUUGCGAUUGACGUCGUAUUGGAUUAGCUCAAUCGACGAAGGGAAUAAGAACGUAUUCAUAUGGUCCUAGAUGGAAUUACAUAAUUUACAUUUUUAAUGAUUUCAUAGACGUCUAUUAUCUACGGAACUGCCUAAACUAAAU